ACACUUGUACCUUUUGCAUCAUGAUUCAGCCAGUAAAAGNUAUGCAAAGAGAUCUCUAGUAUACACCCCCGAACCCAACGAGCUACUCCAGGACAGCCCAUCCAGGGCCAACCCGUCUCUGUCGCAAAAGAGUGGGAGAUCUUCGAGUAGAGGCAAAAAACCUACCGAGUCGGGUUAUAGCUGGUUGCCCAGAAAAUGAAUAAUAGUUCAGCCCCGCACAGCCCAAUUCACACUAGUAACACUACAAAAGAUGAAGAGCCACUAACGGGAGUUAAUCAGAAGAGGUACAGCUCCUCUGAUAAAGGACACAACCUUGGCAGAAGAUUAAAGAAUAAAAUUAAACAAGGCCACAAGUCUCAGUGGGCCUGAAAGCAGCCACCUGAACAGAAAGCGUUAAAGCUCAGACCAAAAACUAUGCCUUUCAUCAGAUUAAAUAAUCCAAAAUCCCUUUAACCACUGGGCCCCCCCAUGCACUCAUGGGAGAGAUCAUGCUGAAACGAGUAACAAGAAGAUUGAACUUCUCCAAGCACAAGUGUAAGUCGAACCGGACCCCCCAUCGACAAUUAACGAACCCAAAAACAGAGGGUACUACACCACCACCACCCCAAGUCAAGAAAAUCAUGUUAUAUAAAUCGUUUAUCCUACACAGGAGUGCCAAACCAAGGAAAGACUAAAAGAAAAAAAAGGAACUCGGCAAACCUAAACCCCGCCUGUUUCCAAAAACAUCGCCUCUUGCCACUAUAAGUAUAAGAGUCCC
rnacentral:rRNA from 1 species